AACGAACGCUGGCGGCAUGCCUAACACAUGCAAGUCGAACGGGAUCCUGGCUUCGGUCAGGUGAGAGUGGCGGACGGGUGAGUAACGCGUGGGAACCUGCCCAGUGGUGGGGGAUAACUGCGGGAAACUGCAGCUAAUACCGCAUGAGCCCGAGAGGGGGAAAGAUUUAUCGCCAUUGGAGGGGCCCGCGUUCGAUUAGGUAGUUGGUGAGGUAACGGCUCACCAAGCCGACGAUCGAUAGCUGGUCUGAGAGGAUGAUCAGCCACACUGGGACUGAGAUACGGCCCAGACUCCUACGGGAGGCAGCAGUGGGGGAAUAUUGGACAAUGGGGGCAACCCUGAUCCAGCAAUGCCGCGUGAGUGAUGAAGGC
rnacentral:rRNA from 1 species